rnacentral:tRNA from 1 species
UCCGGGGUAGCUCAAUGGUAGAGCAGCUCCCUGUUAAGGAGUUGGUUGCCGGUUCGAGUCCGGCCCCCGGAG